AGAAGUACCACUCAUCAUGCAUUGUUUUGUAAUUGUGGUAGUAUUGCUGAUCGUCACACAGAUGACCCUGAGGGUAGAACAACUUCAUUCCUCCAAUUGGGAACGUGGAUACAGCUGCAGUAACAUCUGAAUUCACCCUCAUAGGUUCAUGCUACAACCACACUAGUAUUUUUCACUUUAUAAAAAGAUUUUCUGUAUAAAAAUGUAUUUAAAUAUUUCUAGUUAGCGUAUUAGAUGGUACUAUAUUCUGGUGAAUUUUAUUUCAUAAUAUAUGUACCUGUUCAGUGUUAACAUUUAUAAGAUUCAUAGAUCUUACACUAGAAUACAUGAUACAUUUUGUAUUUUGUGUUCAUAUAGCUUAUGUAAAGAUUUAUUUAAUUAUUCUACUGUACUGAUAGUAAUGGAAAUAUAACAGUUCCAGUGUUUUAUAAAGAGACUCUACUUUCUCUAAAAUAAACACUGGACAUUCGACAGCCACA